UUGCGACCCCAGGUCAGGCGGGAUCACCCGCUGAGUUUAAGCAUAUCAAUAAGCGGAGGAAAAGAAACUUACCAGGAUUCC
rnacentral:rRNA from 1 species